rnacentral:pre_miRNA from 1 species
ACAACAUUCAGACCGUCGGUCUACCGAGCAAUAUCACCCGCUCGGUGGCAGAUCUGCCAAUCUUCCA